CCGGCGGGCCGGGCCCCUCUGGCGUCUGAUGGCAGACGUGAUGUCGGACCGCAUCG
rfam:Brevundimonas abyssalis TAR-001 DNA, contig: BAB007.